AAAUUCGGAUUGAAAUGAAAGUCUGCUUUACUUGCAAUUGUCAUCUAAAUAUAGUUCCAUUAUCAUGCAUGCACAUAUACACAGCAACUUUUAGUCUACAGAGUCCUUUGAAUUUUUUGAUAUUUUUAAUGUUUCUACUCAGAUUAUGAACGCAUAAACCAUUGUAAAACUUGCGGGUUUCCAUCUGUGAGCAAACCCUUUCCCACUUAUUCUCCUUCCCGCGACCCUUUUACAUCUCAAGGGUCACGGGAAGGAGAAAAGGUGGAUCAGGGUGAGAUGGGAACCCACGAUUCCUGAUAUUCUAAUCAGUUGUUGUAUUAACAGAGCUCUCCUAUGAACGUAAUCUCGGCAAGACUCGUCGAAGCUAGUCAUAGGACAUAAUUAUUCGCCAUUUUCAAAAUGACUGCCAUGAAACGCACGUCCACUUAGUGAAGUUUGAAAGUUGUUUGCUGUUGAUAGAAUUAAAAUCUUACCUCAGUAUUUGGUCAGAUUUCCUUUCAUCAUGACUACCUCCUUUUGUCGCCCUGGUAUAGAAUUAUAAAGGUCCUGUACAUAGUUUAAUGGGAUGUUUUCCCACACAGUCCGAAUUUCCGCUAUAAGAUCUUGUCGAGAAUUUAUAAAAUGGACACGGGUUUCUAGUGUUCUUUUCAAAUGUAACCAUAUGUUCUCUAUUAUAUUUAAAUCUGGUGACUGUGCUGGCCAUGUUGUUGUAUUAAUAUUGUUGUCAGCUACAUAAUCUUUAAUAAUUUUGGCUCGAUGAACAGGGGCAUUGUCGUCCAUGAAAAUGUAGUUGUUCUCCGAGAAAUGCCUGGCUAUUACUAGCCAUAUAUUAUCAUCAAUUAUUUGUAAAUAUCUUUGAGCAUUAAUGUUACCUUGGAUAUCAGUCAAAGUGCCCAUACCUUGAAAACAAAUGCAUCCCCAGAUCAUAACACUUAACUUUCGUCGUGGAGCAGGACACGCGAGUUGGGGGUUAUACUUUUCAUCCGCUUUUCGCCACACGUAUACCUUGUUGUUAUCCCCAAUAGCAAUCUGACUCUCAUCACUGAAAAUCCAUUUACACCAUUCUUGCUGAACUGUCCAAUCUUUCCUCUUCUUGCACCAUUUUACACGUUCUUUUUUAUUCACUUCACGAACUGCCACUUUCUUCUUUGCAACCCUCUGAACAUAUCCUAAUUUUUUUUAUUUUUCUUUCAACAGUUUUUGUACAAAAUUGAUGAUUCCUAUUUUCAUUAAUAAUGCCUGUUAUGUCUUUGUAAGUACGUCUCCGAUUUUCUUUGAUGACCCUUGAAAGUUUGUUAGAAUCCCUCUGCGUGAAUAGACAUUACGGCCCCUUCCCGUGCGAUUUUUCACAUCAGAAUGCUGUUUGAAUUUCUUAAUAACACUUCGCACGGUAGAUCUGGGUAUUCCUAAAGUCCUUAAUAAGUUAGAAACAUUUCCGUUCACUUUGUGUGAAUUUAUUAUGAGAUUUCUGACUUUAAUGCUCAGUUCUUUCCCUUUACGACCCAUUUCAAUCAACAAUGUUUACUAAGUUUAUGAUCAUAGCAGACGAAAAAAUGUAUGUGUACACGUCAUCAAUUUUAGUAGCUUGACCCUGUUGUAAAAAUAUGAAGGGGAAAUUUGUUGUCUAUUUAUAGCGCGGGGGUCUAUUUUCAGUUCCUAAUCGCAAAUACAACGCCAUUUGCGCACGGGGUGGCGAAUAAUUAUGUCCCAUGACUGUAGAUGUUUGGACUGACGCCUCUUAUGGAAGAGACAUCAAGCUGUCCAAAUAUCCAGCCUUGAUGAAUCUCGCUGAGAUUGAUUAUGAAGGGCAAUCUGACUGAUUAAAACAGCUUCAGGGCCAAAGACAUUGAUUAGACUGAUGACCUAGAUAACCCGGUAGAGCUGCUGACUGGAGAGCUGUGAGUCCCUUGUUCAAAUCCUGGUCUUGUCUAUUACAGUUUCUCCUCUUCUGACAAUCUGUAUCACAUGUUGCUCAUACAUGCCAACUUUUAAAAAUACCCAUGGGGGAUUUUGCGCGCUGCGACCUUUUUUCAAAGCUCAAAAUUCACGACAUUUUACCAUUAAAAUGAAUAUUUGUCUUUUCAAAAUCAAGUGUGUUUGACCAUUAACUUUAACAAAACUAUAAAACACAAAACACUUUGAAAGAUAUACAUAAAUACUUUCAUACAUGCCAACUUUCCCGAUUUAGGCGGGAUCUUCCCGAUUUUACCCUCCGGUCCCGCUUUCCCGAUCGGGAAAGCAAAAUUACCCUAAAAUCCCGAUUUGAAAUUUUUUCCGACCAAAAUUUCCGAUUUCACGAUUGAAAACGAGUUUGAAAGCGGGAUAAUCGUGAAAUCUCGUGACCAGAAUUGGAAAUCCCGCGUCAUUUCUGAACUGGCCAAUCAGAAAUCGGGACAAUAGUCAGCCAUUGCUGUUUACCUGUGUCGCAUGGUGUCGGGUUGGCCUGUGUCGGGGUGUUUAUUGGACAGUACGAAGCAUGUUUUGAUAGUAAUUAAUCGGGAAGACGGAUUUCAAAUUGACCUAUCCUUUACACAAACGUGAAUGACAACGAUGCUAGUGUCAUCACCAAACAAUCGGACAUUCCGCCUCUCGCUGACAGCAUCCAAAAUUUGCAAUAAGAUGUCAUGGGUGCAAAGGUUUUGUUCGCAAACUUCAUAGCAGGGCAGAUCACUCCUUUUUUGGUUGCAAUGCAGAUUAUUCCACCAGUCUCUGCAAGCCCAUGUUUACAGACAAGCAAGAUCGCCUUUGCAGUCGUACCUAAAUGCAUGUGAUUUAAUUUAAAUUUUGAUAUAUAGACCGGCCAAUGUUUAUUGUAUGGUGUAAAAGGAUGCAACCUUAAAUAUUAUUUGAUAUUAUGUAUGUGACUUGUUGGAGAAGAUUUUUUGCUGAAUAGAUGAUUUUAAUAAAAUAUUAAUGUAUAUC